CUAUACAUGACUCUGCGCAUAUCAAUAAGCGGAGGAAAAGUAAAUGCUGUAUACCUACGCUUAGGAUGUUGAAGAUAUGCGCGACACGACUCUAUACAUGACUCUGUGCAUAUCAAUAAGCGGAGGAAAAGAGGGCUAUUACCUACGCUUAGGAUGUUGAAGAUAUGCGCGACACGGCUCUAUACAUGACUCUGCGCAUAUCAAUAAGCGGAGGAAAAGGCUGCUGAACUGAACGACCGCUACCUACGCUUAGGAUGUUGAAGAUAUGCGCGACACGACUCUAUACAUGACUCUGCGCAUAUCAAUAAGCGGAGGAAAAGAAACUAACUAGGAUUCCCUCAGUAACGGCGAGUGAAGCGGGAAGAGCUCAAAUUUGAAAUCUUCAAGGUUUUACCUUGACGAAUUGUAGUUUAAAGAAGUGUUUUCUGUUGGUGUUUUGGUAAAAGUUCUUUGGAAUAGGACAUCAUAGAGGGUGAGAAUCCCGUAUUUGACCAUUACUUCCAGCGUUGUGAUACACUUUCAAAGAGUCGGAUUGUUUGGGAAUGCAGUCCGAAAUGGGUGGUAAAUUUCAUCUAAAGCUAAAUAUUGGCGAGAGGCCGAUAGCGAACAAGUACCGUGAGGGAAAGAUGAAAAGAACUUUGAAAAGAGAGUUAAACAGUACGUGAAAUUGUCAAAAGGGAAGCGUUUGACACCAGUGUUGUUUUUCCGAAAAUCAAUUACGAAUGUUUUGUUUUUGAGAAGUUAUGACUUCAUCGGCUUGCUUCUCUCUUUACGAAACUUUCUUAAUGCACUUUUCGGUUAACAAGUCAACAUCAAUUUCUUUUGUUGUAAAAGGGUACGAGGAAGGUGGCUUUCUUUUCGGAGAAAGUGUUUAUAGCCUUGUACCUCUGCAAUCGGAGAGAUUGAGGUCUGCAGCGUAGAUCCUUCGGGGUUAGAUACAUUUGUGCUAAGCUAUAGUUCUUUAUAGACAACUUGUUGGCUAUAAUCAAUCCUGUAACUUACUCGCUUAUGCUAUUUUACCUACGCUUAGGAUGUUGAAGAUAUGCGCGACACG
rnacentral:rRNA from 1 species